rnacentral:lncRNA from 1 species
AAGGAACCAGGGGCCAGAACCGACUCAAGCCUCCGUCCUGAGAGCGGCACCCUGGAGUGGAAUCCCACGGGCCUGCAAGAGACAAGCCGGGCCGUGCUUCCUGCCAGCACCUGGCCUGCUGCAGCGCACCUUUCUGUCCACCUGCGGGGCUCAACUCCACCACAGCCACCUCCUCCCCUGCUGGUGUCCCAGUAAGCUCCUGCUGUUUACCUGCCCAUCUCCCCUGCUGGCCCACAACUCCCGGUGUUUUAUCUCCAUUUCCCUUUGGCUGCACCCAGGAGAUGUGACUUCGAACUAAGU